ACGACGCUGGCGGCGUGCCUAACACAUGCAAGUCGAGCGAAUGAAGUUCCUUCGGGAACGGAUUUAGCGGCGGACGGGUGAGUAACACGUGGGCAACCUGCCUCAUAGAGGGGAAUAGCCUUCCGAAAGGGAGAUUAAUACCGCAUAAGAUUGUAGUACCGCAUGGUACAGCAAUUAAAGGAGUAAUCCGCUAUGAGAUGGGCCCGCGGCGCAUUAGCUAGUUGGUGAGGUAACGGGCUCACCAAGGCGACGAUGCGUAGCCGACCUGAGAGGGUGAUCGGCCACAUUGGGACUGAGACACGGCCCAGACUCCUACGGGAGGCAGCAGUGGGGAAUAUUGCACAAUGGGGGAAACCCUGAUGCAGCAACGCCGCGUGAGUGAUGACGGCCUUCGGGUUGUAAAGCUCUGUCUUCAGGGACGAUAAUGACGGUACCUGAGGAGGAAGCCACGGCUAACUACGUG
rnacentral:rRNA from 1 species